GUUUAUGGCCAUGCCACCCUGAACAAGCCCGAUCCCAUCUGAUCUCAGAAGCUAAGCAGGGUUGGGCCUGGUUAGUACUUGGAUGGGAGACCACCUAGGAAGACCAGGUGCUGUAGGCU
rnacentral:rRNA from 1 species